UAGCCCUACGGGGCGCAGCAGUGAGGUAUAUUGGUCAAUGGGCGCAAGCCUGAACCAGCCAAGUCGCGUGAGGGAUGACGGUCCUAUGGAUUGUAAACCUCUUUUGUCGGGGAGCAAGGCCCGCCACGUGUGGCGGGAAGGAGAGUACCCGAAGAAAAAGCAUCGGCUAACUCCGUGCCAGCCGCCGCGGUAAUACGGAGGAUUCGAGCGUUAUCCGGAUUUAUUUGGUUUAAAGG
rnacentral:rRNA from 1 species